ACUCCUGAGGUGAUUGACUAUAACUUGCUGAUCUGUUUAAAUGAGUAUCUGUCUAUUUUAUCUGAGAAGUUGAAUAAGGGUCACGUAAGUCCUUAAUAGGCUUUUAUUUUUCUAAGUAUCAGCUUUUUCUUUUUCUGAAGCUACUUGUGUUUGUGUCUAAAUUUUCCCAGUUUGACACUAUCUGAUGCUAUGCUAUUAUUGGGCUCAGAAAGGAGAUGGUAAAGUUUGAUCAGCUGGGCCACUGCUGUAUUUUCUUUGCACAGUCUGAUUUUACUUCAAUAGCCAAUGAGAGAUUGAGUCCAGAGAAUUGAAAAGUUCUAUGCUCUAGUAAACAUGAGGGGUUUUUGUUUUGUUUUUUUACCUCUUAUUUUCUCUUCCAGUGAACACUGUGUGCUGACUUGGACAGAAAAAGGAAUUUAUAUUUUUAUUCCUCAGAAUGUUCAAGUUCUUCUUUGGAGUGAAGUCAAGGAUAUUCAGGAUGUAGCUGUCUAUAAGAAUGAGUUGUUCUGUUUACACUUUAAUGGGAAAAUCUCACAUCUUUCCCUGUUGUCUGUGGAACGCUGUGUGGAACGCCUGUUGAGGAGAGGCCUGUGGGACCUGGCUGCUCGCACAUGCUGUCUCUUCCAAAAUUCUAUCGUCACCAGCAGAGCAAGAAAAACAUUGA